rnacentral:rRNA from 1 species
GGGUUGUGAGGUUAAGCGACUAAGCGUACACGGUGGAUGCCCUGGCAGUCAGAGGCGAUGAAGGGCGUGCUAAUCUGCGAUAAGCGCCGGUAAGGUGAUAUGAACCGUUAUAACCGGCGAUACCCGAAUGGGGAAACCCAGUGUGACUCGUCACACUAUCAUUAACUGAAUCCAUAGGUUAAUGAGGCGAACCGGGGGAACUGAAACAUCUAAGUACCCCGAGGAAAAGAAAUCAACCGAGAUUCCCCCAGUAGCGGCGAGCGAACGGGGAGGAGCCCAGAGCCUGAAUCAGCAUGUGUGUUAGUGGAAGCGUCUGGAAAGGCGCGCGAUACAGGGUGACAGCCCCGUACACAAAAGCGCAUGUGCUGUGAGCUCGAUGAGUAGGGCGGGACACGUGGUAUCCUGUCUGAAUAUGGGGGGACCAUCCUCCAAGGCUAAAUACUCCUGACUGACCGAUAGUGAACCAGUACCGUGAGGGAAAGGCGAAAAGAACCCCGGCGAGGGGAGUGAAAAAGAACCUGAAACCGUGUACGUACAAGCAGUGGGAGCCCCACCACCAAAGCAUUCUCUGGUGUUGAAGGCCCUGCAAAGCAGCAUCGCGGUGGCGGAGCGUCGUUUGCGACGCCCAACACACAAAACAAGCGGUGAGUGCUUUGGGGUGGGGUGACUGCGUACCUUUUGUAUAAUGGGUCAGCGACUUAUAUUCUGUAGCAAGGUUAACCGUAUAGGGGAGCCGGAGGGAAACCGAGUCUUAACCGGGCGUUAAGUUGCAGGGUAUAGACCCGAAACCCGGUGAUCUAGCCAUGGGCAGGUUGAAGGUUGGGUAACACUAACUGGAGGACCGAACCGACUAAUGUUGAAAAAUUAGCGGAUGACCUGUGGCUGGGGGUGAAAGGCCAAUCAAACCGGGAGAUAGCUGGUUCUCCCCGAAAGCUAUUUAGGUAGCGCCUCGUGAAUUCAUCUCCGGGGGUAGAGCACUGUUUCGGCUAGGGGGCCAUCCCGGCUUACCAACCCGAUGCAAACUGCGAAUACCGGAGAAUGUUAUCACGGGAGACACACGGCGGGUGCUAACGUCCGUCGUGAAGAGGGAAACAACCCAGACCGCCAGCUAAGGUCCCAAAGUCAUGGUUAAGUGGGAAACGAUGUGGGAAGGCCCAGACAGCCAGGAUGUUGGCUUAGAAGCAGCCAUCAUUUAAAGAAAGCGUAAUAGCUCACUGGUCGAGUCGGCCUGCGCGGAAGAUGUAACGGGGCUAAACCAUGCACCGAAGCUGCGGCAGCGACGCUUAUGCGUUGUUGGGUAGGGGAGCGUUCUGUAAGCCUGUGAAGGUGGCCUGUGAGGGUUGCUGGAGGUAUCAGAAGUGCGAAUGCUGACAUAAGUAACGAUAAAGCGGGUGAAAAGCCCGCUCGCCGGAAGACCAAGGGUUCCUGUCCAACGUUAAUCGGGGCAGGGUGAGUCGACCCCUAAGGCGAGGCCGAAAGGCGUAGUCGAUGGGAAACGGGUUAAUAUUCCCGUACUUGGUGUUACUGCGAAGGGGGGACGGAGAAGGCUAUGUUGGCCGGGCGACGGUUGUCCCGGUUUAAGCGUGUAGGUGUGUGUUCCAGGUAAAUCCGGUUCACUUUAACACUGAGGCGUGAUGACGAGGCACUACGGUGCUGAAGCAACAAAUGCCCUGCUUCCAGGAAAAGCCUCUAAGCAUCAGGUAACAUCAAAUCGUACCCCAAACCGACACAGGUGGUCAGGUAGAGAAUACCAAGGCGCUUGAGAGAACUCGGGUGAAGGAACUAGGCAAAAUGGUGCCGUAACUUCGGGAGAAGGCACGCUGACAUGUAGGUGAAGUGAUUUACUCAUGGAGCUGAAGUCAGUCGAAGAUACCAGCUGGCUGCAACUGUUUAUUAAAAACACAGCACUGUGCAAACACGAAAGUGGACGUAUACGGUGUGACGCCUGCCCGGUGCCGGAAGGUUAAUUGAUGGGGUCAGCGCAAGCGAAGCUCCUGAUCGAAGCCCCGGUAAACGGCGGCCGUAACUAUAACGGUCCUAAGGUAGCGAAAUUCCUUGUCGGGUAAGUUCCGACCUGCACGAAUGGCGUAAUGAUGGCCAGGCUGUCUCCACCCGAGACUCAGUGAAAUUGAACUCGCUGUGAAGAUGCAGUGUACCCGCGGCAAGACGGAAAGACCCCGUGAACCUUUACUAUAGCUUGACACUGAACAUUGAGCCUUGAUGUGUAGGAUAGGUGGGAGGCUUUGAAGUGUGGACGCCAGUCUGCAUGGAGCCGACCUUGAAAUACCACCCUUUAAUGUUUGAUGUUCUAACGUGGACCCGUGAUCCGGGUUGCGGACAGUGUCUGGUGGGUAGUUUGACUGGGGCGGUCUCCUCCUAAAGAGUAACGGAGGAGCACGAAGGUUGGCUAAUCCUGGUCGGACAUCAGGAGGUUAGUGCAAUGGCAUAAGCCAGCUUGACUGCGAGCGUGACGGCGCGAGCAGGUGCGAAAGCAGGUCAUAGUGAUCCGGUGGUUCUGAAUGGAAGGGCCAUCGCUCAACGGAUAAAAGGUACUCCGGGGAUAACAGGCUGAUACCGCCCAAGAGUUCAUAUCGACGGCGGUGUUUGGCACCUCGAUGUCGGCUCAUCACAUCCUGGGGCUGAAGUAGGUCCCAAGGGUAUGGCUGUUCGCCAUUUAAAGUGGUACGCGAGCUGGGUUUAGAACGUCGUGAGACAGUUCGGUCCCUAUCUGCCGUGGGCGCUGGAGAACUGAGGGGGGCUGCUCCUAGUACGAGAGGACCGGAGUGGACGCAUCACUGGUGUUCGGGUUGUCAUGCCAAUGGCACUGCCCGGUAGCUAAAUGCGGAAGAGAUAAGUGCUGAAAGCAUCUAAGCACGAAACUUGCCCCGAGAUGAGUUCUCCCUGAGACUUUAGGUCUCCUGAAGGAACGUUGAAGACGACGACGUUGAUAGGCCGGGUGUGUAAGCGCAGCGAUGCGUUGAGCUAACCGGUACUAAUGAACCGUGAGGCUUAACCUUACAACGCCGAAG